rnacentral:rRNA from 1 species
UCUACGGGAGGCAGCAGUGGGGAAUAUUGCACAAUGGGCGAAAGCCUGAUGCAGCAACGCCGCGUGAGUGAUGAAGGCCUUCGGGUCGUAAAGCUCUUUGAUCAGGGAUGAUAAUGACAGUACCUGAAAAACAAGCCACGGCUAACUACGUGCCAGCAGCCGCGGUAAUA